rnacentral:lncRNA from 1 species
GGCGGAAGUGCGGUGUUCUAGCAGGUGGCUGCUUUCUCUGGGCUGGCUGUGGGAGGCUCCCGAGGUGGGGACCCGGCCGGGAUGGCUGCAGCGGCGGCCGGGGCUGGGAGCGGGCCCUCGGCGGCCCAGGAGAAGCAGUUCCUGCCGGCGCUGCUGAGUUUCUUCAUCUACAACCCGCGCUUCUGGCCGCGGGAAGGAGAGACCUCCCAGUGCCAAGUGUAUAAGCGUGUCCAGAAUUGGUGGGUCUCACUGACUUCAAGAAUGAAGCCGCGGACCCUCCUGGCGGAAUUCUCCACGAGUUUUGAGCAGCCUCGGUUUUCCCACCACCUCCAAAUCAUGCAAGACACAGGGCAGAGCCCCCGGAGCCAUGGCCAGCCCUUCCGGCAGCUCCAAAGCCACUGGCAAGCCCCGAGGCAGGGAUGGCCGGCCCAGGAGGGAGGAGGACGACGUCCCUCCCGAAGAGAAGAGGCUGCGGCUCUUGCUGGAGGGGGGAAGCGCACAGCCCCAGGACUGCGAGGACGGGGAGGACGCGCCGCGGCCGGGCAGGGAGGAGACCGGCACCCAGACAGGUGGCGACGGCAGAGGAGCGCAGUGGCUCACACCUGUAAUCCCAGCACUUUGGCAGGUCGAGGCUGGCGGAUCACCUAAGGUCAGGAGUUCGAGACCAGCCUAGCCAACAUGGCGGAACUGUCUCUACUAAAAAUACAGAAAUUAGCCAGGUGUGAUGGCACACACCUGUAAUCCCAGCUGCUUGGGAGGCUGAGGCAGGAGAAUCAUUUGAACCUGGGAGACAGAGGUUGCAGUCAGCCGAGAUCACACCACUGCACUUCAGCCACCUGGGUGACAGAGCGAGACUCUGUUUCAAAAAUAAAUAAAUAAAUAAAAUAGAAUUCU